UAGAGGCCACCUGCAUCUUUUUGUUCCUA
rnacentral:piRNA from 1 species